CAAAAAAUACAAACAUACAACUUUUGAACAAAACAAAAAUGCACAAUAUGCUCUUCAAGGUCGAAUGGGCAACAACAGUAACUCCAAGAGAGCAAUCAGUAGUACAGAAAAUAAAAACAUAGAAAACAUCCAUUAGUAUUGGGGUUCAUCAAGCAUUUGGAGAAUUCACACACUAAACUAAUAGAAGAGAAUAGAAUGUGAAUGGGAGAAAGAGCAACGACUGCCAGCUAUUGAAUGAAAUACGAUCAAGAACGAGAGAAAACAAGAGCUAGUUUAAGUAUUAUUAAUUUGCGAGAAUGAGAAUUCUCUAUCAUAAGAAAUAUAAUAGAAAGGUAGGAGCCUAGCUACGUUUUAUUUAUUCUUAUUUGACAGCAUCACUUCUCGUUUUGGCACACA